rnacentral:rRNA from 1 species
AGAGUUUGAUCCUGGCUCAGAACGAACGCUGGCGGCGUGGAUAAGACAUGCAAGUCGAGCGAGAUUUUUCGUUGUAGCAAUACGAUGGAAAGUCUAGCGGCGAACGGGUGCUUAACACGUGGGCAACCUGCCAUGAAGUGGGGGAUAGCUCGCCGAAAGGCGAAUUAAUACCGCAUGUGAUUAGAGAGGACAUCCUUUCGAAAUUAAAGUCGGGGCAACCUGACGCUUCUUGUGGGGCCCGCGGCCUAUCAGCUAGUUGGUGAGGUAACGGCUCACCAAGGCUUUGACGGGUAGCUGGUCUGAGAGGACGACCAGCCACACUGGGACUGAGACACGGCCCAGACACCUACGGGUGGCAGCAGUCGAGAAUUUUUGACAAUGGGGGAAACCCUGAUCGAGCGACGCCGCGUGGAGGAUGAAGGUCUUCGGAUUGUAAACUCCUGUCAUUGGGGAACAAGGUGCAUACGUUAACUGCGUGUGUAUUGAUAGUACCCGAAGAGGAAGGGACGGCUAACUCUGUGCCAGCAGCCGCGGUAAUACAGAGGUCUCAAGCGUUGUUCGGAUUCAUUGGGCGUAAAGGGUGCGUAGGCGGCGCGGUAAGUCGGGUGUGAAAUCUCGGAGCUUAACUCCGAAACUGCAUUCGAUACUGCCGUGCUUGAGGACUGGAGAGGAGACUGGAAUUUACGGUGUAGCGGUGAAAUGCGUAGAUAUCGUAAGGAAGACCAGUGGCGAAGGCGGGUCUCUGGACAGUUCCUGACGCUGAGGCACGAAGGUCAGGGGAGCAAACGGGAUUAGAUACCCUAGUAGUCC